UCAUUUCCCCAAAGUCUACUUGGAUUAUUUGAUUUCUUAGGUUCUGACCUUUACUUGUAUUUACCACCAAUCCUAAUAUGGGCUAACAGUUCGCUACUCUAUGGAUAAGUGAAGUUUCACCAAAUGUUACUACAGAGCAUGAAUAAUAUUAUUGAUCAUUAAAUAUAUGUCAUUGCUGAUGUUAGCACCAUAAACACCCAUGCUUCAUGCGCUAUUCUCACUUUUGCCUUUGGCAAAUGGCGAAAACUACCACCUAUAAAAUGCCAAUUUUUAACAUAACAAAGGACGGAAAUGCUUUUAAUGAGCCAUUUAAGCAAGGUAAAAAUAACAACCCAAGCCAAUUAUCCUUAAGACACAUACCAAAGUUCUUUUUGAAUAACCACCAAAAUGUAAGCUAAUCAUUCCAUGCACAUAUUUAUCAUUUGACGAUCAUUUUGAUGGCAUGUGCCAGUGAAGAUUACUAAGAUGAUGAUCAUUCUACCAUUGUAAUUAGUGCGAAAAAUAUUCUAUACCUUUUAUGUAUGGGAAAAGUUUAUAUAAGGUUGCAACCUUAAAUGUAGAAUCACAGAUGCACCGCAAAAAUCUAGUGGAAAAGCUGUUUUAAUGUUGAAAAACCUAAUAAUUGAUCAUUUGACAUCGUGAUGUAUGAAUAUUAAAAAAACGAAGUUUUUGAGUCCCAAAAAUAGUGCAUCUUGCAAUACAUUAUUUAGACCGUCCAUUUUCAAUAUUUUCGUAUAUUUAUAGAUCUAAUUGAUUUUAACCAUUUUUGGAAUUAAAAUUUUCUAGUUAGAUAUGAAAAUAGUUUUUAAGAUAAUCCUAAAAAAAAUUUGCAACAAAAUUACAUGUUAUGAUAAAAUUGCGAGGUGCGCCUUAAUUGGAUUGUUUAAGGUUGCAACCAUAUAGAAACCGCGCCCUUUAUGUAUAUGGAAUGCGGUUCUCAGACCCCAGAUACAAUGUCCAUGUUUAUUCAAAGACAGUGUUGAUGGGCUCUAACCCACUUUUAAAGUCGCAUGGUUUUUUGGUGGGAACAGUUAUUCAACUUCUCCGCCUAUGGAAGCUUGGAUGUUGGAUGUCAGGCGAGAGCGCCUUAAUACUAAGAUGAAGUGUCGUAUCGAGUCCAUUAUUAAUUGCUGACUUUUGAGUUAUCAAAACAAAAAAGAAUUAUGGUGGCUAUUGUGUCUAAGUGAGUAUGUAUAAUCAGGUGUGGUCAUAUGUGCUGUUGCACAUCAUGCUCGUCGCACUUGACAAGCUGCCCACUUUGCCGGCGAAGGAUAGAACAGGUUGUGAAGACCUUUCGACAUUGAUACCCCACACAUCAGGCACUGUAUGUAGUUUUUGCCGGCGAAGGAUAGAACAGGUUGUGAAGACCUUUCGACAUUGAUACCCCACACAUCAGGCACUGUAUGUGUAUACAAUGAAGACCGUUACCUUUCAUACACAAAGGCCCCACAAAUCCGAGUUC
rnacentral:lncRNA from 1 species